CUAGUGACUGAGUUUCUAAGUCAGGUUUUGGUUCUCUGACCUGGCUGCUUACCUGUCUAUGCUCUGGAGUUUCCUCUGUGACUGUCCCUGUCAUCAGAACUUGCCUCUAAAGAGGCAAUAAGAGUAUCUGCUGUGAGACAGGCUCUGUAGGGGACAGCAGUGGGCAAAGCAAACACGAGAUUCCUUCGUUCACCAACUAAUGAUGCGCAGAGAGAACGUGCUUCGGAACCUAUCGGACAAAGCCUUUGACCGGCCCAUCUGCGAGGCCUUGUUGGACCAGAGGUUCUUCAAUGGAAUCGGCAACUAUCUGCGGGCAGAGAUCUUGUAUCGGCUGAAGAUCCCCCCUUUUGAGAAGGCCCGUACAGUUCUAGAG
rnacentral:lncRNA from 1 species